rnacentral:rRNA from 1 species
GACGAACGCUGGCGGCGUGCUUAACACAUGCAAGUCGAACGGAAAGGCCCUGCUUUUGUGGGGUGCUCGAGUGGCGAACGGGUGAGUAACACGUGAGUAACCUGCCCUUGACUUUGGGUUAACUUCGGGAAACUGGGGCUAAAACCGGAAAGAGCCUCUGGCUCAAGGGGGGGGGUGGGAAAGUUUCGGCGGUUGGGGAUGGACUCGCGGCUUAUCAGCUUGUUGGUGGGGUAGUGGCUUACCAGGGCUUUGACGGGUAGCCGGCCUGAGAGGGUGACCGGCCACAUUGGGACUGAGAUACGGCCCAGACUCCUACGGGAGGCAGCAGUGGGGAAUAUUGCACAAUGGGCGGAAGCCUGAUGCAGCAACGCCGCGUGCGGGAUGACGGCCUUCGGGUUGUAAACCGCUUUCGCCUGUGACGAAGCGUGAGUGACGGUAAUGGGUAAAGAAGCACCGGCUAACUACGUG